CCUACGGGUGGCAGCAGUGGGGAAUAUUGCACAAUGGGCGAAACCCUGAUGCAGCGACGUCGCGUGAGUGAAGACGUACUUCUUUAUUUAAAGCUCUAUCAGCAGGGGAGAAAAUGACGGUACCUGAGUAAUAAUCCCCGGCUAACUACGUGCCAGCAGCCGCGGUAAUACGUAGGGGGCAAGCGUUAUCCGGAUUUACUGGGUGUAAAGGGAGCGUAGACGGCAGUGCAAGUCUGGAGUGAAAGGCGGGGGCUCAAACCCCGGACUGCUCUGGAAACUGUACGGCUUGAGUGGAGGAGAGGUAAGUGGAAUUCCUAGUGUAGCGGUGAAAUGCGUAGAUAUUAGGAGGAACACCAGUGGCGAAGGCGGCUUACUGGACUGUAACUGACGUUGAGGCUCGAAAGCGUGGGGAGCAAACAGGAUUAGAUACCCUUGUAGUC
rnacentral:rRNA from 1 species